UUGUCUUGAAUCGUGUGAUAGUUGUAUAUGAGCGUCCUUUUUUUUCCUGUUUGUUCAGAUCUCGGUAUAUCUAGGACACAUCACACGAUGUAUUCUUGCUUUCUUUUUCCUUCUUUUAGUUAAGACAGACGGGUGUGACCUGGCGGGGUGUACUAUCUGAUAUUUCUAGCAAUUCACGAAUCAACUGGAUUAUUUCCACAUCACCACUGCCACGUCGAAUAUUCCGUGGAAACAUGUCUAGCCACAAAGAAGUUUUACCUUGGUUGGAAACAGGUGAAGGUUGGUGACAGGACGGACACCCGGCCGUAGAGAACCCGCCCCCAAUAAAUCCUGUGCAACCCAUGCAAGCAUGGAAAAGUGGACAUUAAAACGAUGACGGUGAGACACACACACACACACAUAAACGCGCGCGCGCACACUGCUAAAUUUAAUGACUAUAUAGAAAGACAAGGAAGGAGAUGAGAAAUAAUGAUGGAAAUACAGAACGAAAGAAAAAAUAAAGGUUAAGAAGGAGGAAUAGCUGAUCAGAAAGUGAGAGUACCAUUUCGUACACAGUAUUCUUCUAGCAACAUCCACUUCCAUCACCCUAAGACAGGAACCGCGUAGAACCAGCAUACGCAUGUUGUUUGUUUAGUCCCGAAUCAGCUCUGAGCAAACAGACCGAUGAUUUUAGACAAUCUAGCCAUGACCAUUACAUCUCGCUUCUUCCCACUUUUUUUUUUCUUUUUGCUAUUUGUUUAGACUUCAGUAUAUCUAGGACACAUCAUACGAUAUAUUCUUCCUUUUCUUUUCCAUCAUUUUUUCUUCUUUAAGACAGAAGGAUGCGACCUGGGGGUGUAAGAUCUGAUCAUUUUAGCAAUUCACCAAUUCAAUGGGUUAUUCCCCCAUCACCGCUUCACCAAAAUCCCAUCUCCUUCUUCAGUUAAUUCGUUUGGUGAUUUACUUUAUGUUUAACACACGUAACGACCGCUAAACAAAAACAGAGAGAUAGAAAGUGCGACAGGGUAUAUAUGAGAAAAAUAUACACGUGCUUCGUGGUGGAACCGCUGUAAUAAUGAAGAAGGGCUUUGGCAAACGUGUAUAUAGGACACAACUACCUGUUAACCUUCGUUAUACACCAAAAUAUAUAUACAUACACAUUCGCAUACAGAUAUGUAUACGCACACUGACAUCAGGCCAAACAAUAUAUAUAUAUAUUUAUAAAACUAUCGUUUAUACAUAUAAUGUACUUUGAAAACGAGAGUAACCACGAUUUAAGACACAGUACUGAAUGUGCAUUUCUAUGCAUCGAAAAUUUAUACACACGCAAUGCUUCUUCCUCGUUUGUUCCGAAGUUAAACGAGGAAAGGAGGGAAAAAAUUAAUUUACAGAUCCAGUUUCCGGGUUGACGCCAAAAACUUGAAACAGUUCAAUCGAAAAUCCGAAUUGUGAAUGAUGGAACAACGUAAUUUAUUCUUCGGGAAAUUGAUUGACACUUAAACUAUUGUUAACCAAGACAGCAACAACCACGAAAGUAGCGGAAGAAAGAAUAAAAAGAGCGCUUGUUUUGUUUAUUGUCA